GAGUUUGAUCGUGGCUCAGAGUGAACGCUGGCGGCAGGCCUAACACAUGCAAGUCGAACGGCAGCGCAGCAGUAGCAAUACUGUGGGCGGCGAGUGGCGGACGGGUGAGGAAUACAUCGGAAUCUACCUUGUCGUGGGGGAUAACGUAGGGAAACUUACGCUAAUACCGCAUACGAACUACGGUUGAAAGCGGCGGACCGCAAGGCGUCGCGCGAUUGGAUGAGCCGAUGUCCGAUUAGCUAGUUGGCGGGGUAAAGGCCCACCAAGGCGACGAUCGGUAGCUGGUCUGAGAGGAUGAUCAGCCACACUGGAACUGAGACACGGUCCAGACUCCUACGGGAGGCAGCAGUGGGGAAUAUUGGACAAUGGGCGCAAGCCUGAUCCAGCCAUGCCGCGUGUGUGAAGAAGGCCUCGGUUGUAAG
rnacentral:rRNA from 1 species